GAAGUCACUCAGUUAUGUCCAUCUCUUAGCGACCCCAUGGACUGCAGCCUACCAGACUCCUCCAUCCAUGGGAUUUUCCAGGCAAGAGUACUGGAGUGGGGUGCCAUUGCCUUCUCUGGCCCAAGCCUGCUAGGAACCUGGAAAUCCUCAGGCCAGAGUGCAGAAUUCCCCUUUCUUCUGGAAGAUCGUGCGGCCAGAAUGAGGCUGCAGCACAGACGCAUGUGCCUCGAUUCACUCUGCAAGACCCGACGCCAGUCUCCCCCUUCCAAACUCAGGUAAGGGUACCUUGAAACCAACCCCUAGCCGCAAGAUUGCGCUCUCCCCCUAACUCUGAAUCCUCCCCACUCGCAUCCACCCGGUGAAAACCCAUGAGCACCGCCCCCGCUCCGCGGCCUCCGCUCCUCACAGCCAGGCGCCGGUCUCCCAGUCCUUCCCAGGCCUCGCGCCCCGCAGCCAUCCAGGAGUCACGGAUGGCUCCGGAUACCGCGCGGCUAGCACUCACCGGGGCCCGCAGAUGCCGAAGCGCGUGGGACCGGAAGAGAAAGAGGAAGGCCGCGGUGCAGCACAGGAAAUAGGCUCGUCGCAGCAGGAAGGCACUACUGGAAAAGCUUCCCCCAACGCUGUGAAGAAGGGUUCCUAAGCCCGGAGGAUACAAUCCAGACAAGAAGGCGAGGCUAACAAGCUGGGCCGGCUCAUUCAGGUUUUGCCUCCUAUUUUUCCUGGACUUGAGUCUCAGGUCUCAUUAAAGGUCUUGAAGGCGACGGGAGUCCUUGAGGAACACACGUUAGGCGGGAAGUGACAGGCAAUCAGUGUGCCGAAAACAGUACCCCUGGCUACUGUGUGGAGAGUGAACUGUAGAGGGCAGAGGAGAGGAGGCAGAGCUGUGAGGAAUCCGGGACAGGACUUUACCUGGAGCUGAGUGGGGACACGAGGGGUGGAUAGGAGUGGAUAAAGAAAGACAGUAGACUGGGCUUGGGAUGCAGAAGGUUGGGGAGAAGGCCAGUGUAGCGCUUCCGUUUCUGGCUUGAACAAGCGGGUGAAGAUGGUGCCUUCAACAGAAACGGGCAAGAAUGGGGGAGGGACAGGGGUCUUGUUGCUUUAUUCUGAGGGCGCCAAUGGCUCCGGUGUUUCUUUAUUUUUUUAAAAAAACUUUUAAUUUAUAUUGGCGUACAGCCGAUUAACAGUAUUGUGAGAGUUGCAGGUGCCCAGCAAAGUGACUCAGCUAUACGUAUACGUUUAUCCUGGAUGUUUUCUUUUUAGAUGCAUUAAAUGUGAUAUGUCUGUUGAUACCCCAAAUGAGUAAAGCUUGUCUCCUGAUAUCUAUUGCCCUGUAAAGUCUUACCCCUACUUUUUUUUUUUUUUCCACACAGCGGUGGGGUCUGAGGGCACUUUUCUUUAUUUUUCUGGCCGCACUAUGCGGCAUGUGGGAUCUUCCCCCAAACCAAGGGUUGAACCCCUGUCCUCUGUACUGGGAGUGUGGAGUCCUAACCACUGGACUGCCAGGGAAGUCCCUGAGGGUACUUUUAAAGAUACAAAUCAGAUCUUGUCAGUUAAAAUCUGCAAGGACUUCCCCUUGCAUUAGAGAUGAAUUCUUUACCUCCCCUAAUCCUGGAACUCAUCAUUCACUUCUCUCCACCCCUAUGGACUUCUUUCUUUCCUGCCAAGCACAAAUACUUGUUCCUGCUUCAGGGCCUUUGAACUUGCUAUCCACUCCACUUGGACUGCCUUCUUCCUGCUCUCUGGAUGGUGUCCUAGACUGCCUCUAGAAUAGAGACCUUCUGCCCCAUCUCCGCAGUUACUCUGUGUCCUCUUAUUCUGUUUGCUUUCUUCAUAGAACUUUCCCAGCCUCUAAUUACCUGUUUUAUUUACUUGUGUAUGUGUUCAUUGGCUCAAGCACCAUGAAUUCAGGACUGGUUUGGUCACUGUCAUUUUCCAUCGCCUGGCACAGCACUUGAUGUAGAACAGGAGAUUAAGAACCCUCCACCCCCAUAGCCCCCCCCCCCCCACCCUGAAUGGACACUCCUUGCACUCCUCAGCAGGCAAUUUCACCGACUGAUGGACACAUGUUGCAGAGAGUUGAGGAGUGAAAGGGAAAGAAGGAUGUGGGGGCUGGACACACAGGCGACUCCUUACUGAAGCAUUCCUGAGAAAAGGGAGAGAAAUCUGGCAGGUUGAGUUAGGAGAAUGAAGAGCAGGCUCAGAUGCUCCAGGGGUGACUGAGUGCCAACAAAGAAACAAUUGAGGGUUUUCCCUAGCGGUCCAGUGGUUGAGACCCCACACUUCCACUGCAGGGGGCAUGGGUUCAAUCCCUGUUGGGGAACUAAGAUCUCACAACUUGUGUGGUGUGGCCCCAAUUUUUUUUUUUUUUU